rnacentral:rRNA from 1 species
UACGUAGGUGACAAGCGUUAUCCGGAAUUACUGGGCGUAAAGCGCACGCAGGCGGCGCAUUAAGUCUGACGUGAAAUCUCCUGGCUUAACUGGGAGGGGUCGUGGAGACUGAUGUGCUUGAGGCGAUGAGAGGGGGUGUAGAAUUCCCGGUGUAGUGGUGGAAUGCGUAGAUAUCGGAGGAAUACCAGUGGCGAAAGCGACACCCUGGCAUUAGCCUGACGCUCAUGUGCGAAGGCGUGGGGAGCGAACGGG